UAUAUAUAUAUAUGUGUGUGUGUUUUGUAUACCAACUUUUAUACAUUAUACAAUCCAGUAAGAGCCGAGAUAAAAUAGUGUCAUGUAUAGUGUAUAACAUCCCUGACAAACACAGCAAAAUAAAUGCAGAGUAAACAUCAAGUAUAAUAACUUAGUAUGUCAGAAAUACAUUUUGUGAAUCUAGUGGAAGCCUUCACCUCAGAAAAUAUAUUUCCCCAAAAUGUAAGGUCAUGUGAUUAAAUGGAACAGAUACAGACAGACAGACAGAUACAGAGACUAGUCUCUCUAAAUAAAAACACACACACAAAAGUGUUUCCUUGCUCAAUUUCACCCACUGUCCUCCUCCCUGUACUCUAGUUUUGUCACCAGGAUUCCAUGUGAGAAGCACAUCUUGGCAUGUCAGUCAGGGCCGGAAGGGGUAAAAGUGCAGCAAACUAACUCAGAUUAAAUUAAUUCUAACCAUGGGAUAAAGGGAGCUACAAAUAGUUAUACACAAUACACAAAUAAUUGUUCCCUUCUCAUUGCCUAAGUCUCUGAAUGUAUAUGCAAUCUUUCAGUGAUAAAAUAAAUAAAUAUAUAUGAGCAACUGGCAACCUGGUUUGUGGAAUAAAUAAAUAUCUAUAACUACUUGGCAUCUUUUUAACUCACUGUAGUCCUGGAGAUGCUGCACAUAGCUAAACCUGAGCUUCCAUUUAGCAUACAGCACUGCCACUUCUUCCAGGGAGAUCAGCUCUGAUCUGUGCAGGUCCCGCCCACUCCCCUCCCGUUCCUCAGUCAGCUGAUCUCUCAGCCUGUGUGAGACUACGGGAGCUGCAAGUGAAACAAAGUUACUGCUUUCUAUUGCAAGGUAUUGCUAGAAUCGGUCUUUCAAAUCCCAAAGUUGAAAUGACAUUUACUGUGCUGGUUUGGGGAGGCUUAGCCUCCCCUAGCCUUCAUUAAAAUCCGCCCAUGAGUGGAUGUUUGUCCCUUUUCCUUCUUUGAGCGGGACAAGGAGCGGCAGCUGCAGAAAGAGAAGCGAUUGGAUGAACUUCGCAAAGUGGAAGUCUAUAAAUUCAAGGCUCAGCCUCUGCCACCAUUCUAUCACAUCAGCCCCUUUAAGAAGAAGGUGAGGUUGCCAAGCCAGAAGGAGCGAUUUGAGCUGGAGACAUACAAUGUGGAGUCAAGUCCUACUUAACCAUCCCAACAUCCCCAAGCUUCUCAGGCAGGUUUAAGUGCUGAUGCAGCUGAUGUUCCUGUGUUACAGCCAAAUCGAAAUUUUCUGGUAGUUGAUGCCCUUUUCAAGCCCUGGACUAUACACAUCCUAAUGAACAAACAUAUGUCCGGUAAAUAGUAGCAUGAAUACAGAGGCAUGUUUUUGCCCUGGGGGGUGUUAUGUAAAUACUAAAUAUUAAUGGUAGGGAUGCACCAAAUCCACUAUUUGGGAUUCUGCCCAAUGCCUGGUGAAAGAUUUGACAAAAUACCGAACCAAAUCCUAAUUUGCAUAUGCAAAUUAGAAUCAGGGAAGGAAAAGAGGAAAACAGAUCAUCUUUUGUGACGAUUUCCCUACCCGUCCUUAAUUUAUAUAUGCAAAUUAGGAUUUGGGUUCGGCCAGGCACAAGGAUUCGGCCGAGUCCUGCUGAAAA